AACAGUGUAGCAUAGUGGUUUGAGUGUCGGACUACGACUCUGGAGACCAAGGUUCGAGUCCGUGCCCAGCCA